rnacentral:rRNA from 1 species
ACUCCUACGGGCAGCAGCNNUGAGGAAUAUUGGUCAAUGGACGCAAGUCUGAACCNUGCCACGUCGCGUGAAGGAAGACGGCCUUAUGGGUUGUAAACUGCUUUUAUACAGGAAUAAACCACCUUACGAGUAGGGUGUUGAAGGUACUGUAUGAAUAAGCACCGGCUAACUCCGUGCCAGCAGCCGCGGUAAU